rnacentral:rRNA from 1 species
UGGGGAAUAUUGGACAAUGGGCGCAAGCCUGAUCCAGCCAUGCCGCGUGAGUGAUGAAGGCCUUAGGGUUGUAAAGCUCUUUCGGCGGGGACGAUAAUGACGGUACCCGCAGAAGAAGCCCCGGCUAACUUCGUGCCAGCAGCCGCGGUAAUACGAAGGGGGCUAGCGUUGUUCGGAAUCACUGGGCGUAAAGGGCGCGUAGGCGGCUUGAUAAGUCGGGGGUGAAAGCCUGUGGCUCAACCACAGAAUUGCCUUCGAUACUGUCUGGCUUGAGACCGGAAGAGGUAAGUGGAACUGCGAGUGUAGAGGUGAAAUUCGUAGAUAUUCGCAAGAACACCAGUGGCGAAGGCGGCUUACUGGUCCGGUUCUGACGCUGAGGCGCGAAAGCGUGGGGAGCAAACAGG